AUCUUUCUGAAUUCGUGCAGAGAUUUAGUCAUAUACCAACACAUUAGGGCUGAUUAGACUCCAAAGAUAAGCGAAGUU
rnacentral:pre_miRNA from 1 species